rnacentral:rRNA from 1 species
UACAGAGGGGGCAAGCGUUGUUCGGAAUUACUGGGCGUAAAGGGCGCGUAGGCGGCCUGCUAAGUCGAACGUGAAAUCCCCGGGCUCAACCCGGGAACUGCGUCCGAUACUGGCAAGCUUGAGUGUGGCAGAGGGGGUGGAAUUCCACGUGUAGCAGUGAAAUGCGUAGAGAUGUGGAGGAACACCGAUGGCGAAGGCAGCCCCCUGGGCUAACACUGACGCUCAUGCACGAAAGCGUGGGGAGCAAACAGG